UACGGGAGGCAGCAGUGGGGAAUUUUGGACAAUGGGCGCAAGCCUGAUCCAGCAAUGCCGCGUGCAGGAAGAAGGCCUUCGGGUUGUAAACUGCUUUUGUCAGGGAAGAAAUCUUCUGGGCUAAUACCCCGGGAGGAUGACGGUACCUGAAGAAUAAGCACCGGCUAACUACGUGCCAGCAGCCCGCGGUAAUA
rnacentral:rRNA from 1 species